GCUUAUAUAGAAAGCUAACUGAUGAUUCUAACUGUAGUAACAAUUAACUCUAGUUUAUACAAUUGUAACUAACUGUUAACUAACUAUAGUUAACAGUUAGUUUCAUGAGCACUGCUAUGGUGAUGUAGCACUCUAUAUCCAGCUGUCAUGUUAAGUGCUCUAGCCAUCUUGUGUCCAAGUAUUGGCAGGGUAGUGUGAUAUGUCUUGCUAGUGCUGCACUGCUACUGACUUUGUUGUGGCAUUGUAAUAUUUGCUGCAGGAGGAUUACUCCUAUUAUAGUAGCUAAUGUAGCAUGAACAUAUUUGUAUAUAAAUUACAUGUUUGUAUAUAACUUACGUGUGACCUUUCUGAAUGAAGGUCAGGGAUUUUAGUUCUCAAAGAGUAUUAUAGUGUUUGACCGACUGUACUUUGGCUAUAUCAAUAUUUGGUGUUAAAAUUGGUACAAUGGUGGUGGUUUGAAGCUCUCUUUAUCAGCUGUCUUGCAAAUGCAUGCGUUCGCGAACACAAAAACACCAUUAAUGGAAACACCAAGCAAUUGGGUACAGAAAGUUGAGAGAAUUGAAUUGUGACUUGAAGCCAUGCCAGUUUUAUUUAUGGCAAUACAACAAAGAGAGAUGAUAAUACAGCAGAGACAUGGAAAGAGAACACCAGUCUGCCGACCACCGAAGAAAAACCUCAAUGAAACCAUAUAUAGUACAUACAAAAGAGAACCUAUUUAUUUCAUUUCCCUUCUUCGGUCCAAGAUUUGAACCAGCCUGCAGAUUCUUUGGGUAUCCUGUUCAAAUUAUUGAGGUAAUCUGUGUAGUAAAGACCAAACCUCACUUUAUAACCUGAUCCCAUCUCCAUGCAGUCCAUCAGUGCCCACAUGAAGUAACCUUUCACAUUGGCUCCCAAUCUGCACACACAACAAAUAAGAUAAAUAAUUUUUUUGUUUUAAUUUUUAUAAAUGAAAUUGAAUUGGUAAGCUUAAUAUUAGAAACUUACUUCAUAGCUUCAUUAACAGCGUAGAGGUGACUAAGAAUAUGCUGAAUUCGUUUAGGAUCUUUAAGUGCAUCAGCCACCGGAAGUGCGUCAUCUCGCUUAUCAGGAUACCCUGUUGUUGUGGAAGGUGAGUUGACAAUUAUAUAUAUGGACAUUGAUAAUAUAUAUAUGAAUAAAAUGAAAUAUUAUUAGGGCUAAAGUACUUACCAUUUUCAGUAAUGUACAUUUUCGGGUCGUUGUAAUUUUUACUUAUGUAAAUCAGAGCAUCCUUCAGCCCUCGUGGAAAUACAUAAAUUUGAUCACUCCCAGGCGUCUGGAGAAGGGGUAAUCAAGCGGACCAAAUUUAGAAUAAAUCAACUCCACAAGGUAAUUAAGAACCACUUAUUUAAAUAAAAAAAAUGGUAAAUCUAUAUCAUUAUUUAAAAUAAUACUGAAAUUUCAAUACAUAUGCUCUCUCUCUCUCUCUCUCUAUGUAUAUAUAUAUAUAUAUAUAUAUAUAUAUAUAUAAUCUUUGUAAAUUAACAUUAAUUAGUGUCGUAAAUCUUACCGGAUCUCCAAUGGGAACUCCAUUUCUGUCAGCUGCAGUGCCAAGGCGCGCAAGUAUGGAAGGCAGGAAGAGAAUAUCAGAUAAUUGAUCUUAGCAUUGAUCAUAUAUAACCAUUGGUUUCAAAUACAGAGAAUUAUCGAUCGAUGAUUAAUAAAAUAAUAAUAAUAGUGUACGUACGUACCUGUUAAUUGAGCGUGUUGAUACUCAUCUUGUCUAGUGUAAGAUUCGUCAGGAGUUAUUGGAAGAGCAAUUGCAUAAUUAGAAGUGUAGUAAUUCACUCCAAUAAAAUCAUAAGACCCCUUCACCAAAGCUUUCUCUUCUUCUGUAAAUGCCGGAAGCCCAUCUCUCACCAGAGCUUUCAUAAUGAAUGGAUAAUCACCAUACACAAUUGGUUCCAAUAACCUAUAAUNNNNNNNNNNNNNNNNNNNNNNNNNNNNNNNNNNNNNNNNNNNNNNNNNNNNNNNNNNNNNNNNNNNNNNNNNNNNNNNNNNNNNNNNNNNNNNNNNNNNAUAUAUAUAUAUAUAUAUAUAUAUAUAUAUAUAUAUAUAUAUAUAUAUAUAAGCAUUGGUUUCAAAUACAGAGAAUGAUAGAUGGAUGAUUAAGUAAAAUAAUAAUAGUGUACGUACGUGUACGUACGUAUACCUGUUAAUUGAGCGUGUUGGUACUCAUCUUGUUUAGUGUAAGAUUCGUCAGGAGUUAUUGGAAGAGCAAUUGCAUAAUUAGAAGUGUAGUAAUUCACUCCAAUAAAAUCAUAAGACCCCUUCACCAAAGCUUUCUCUUCUUCUGUAAAUGCCGGAAGCCCAUCUCUCACCAGAGCUUUCAUAAUGAAUGGAUAAUCACCAUACACAAUUGGUUCCAAUAACCUAUAUUUAAUUAGCAACAUUAAACUAAGUACUCUCUCUAUAUACUAUAUAUGCUCAUGAAAUGACAUAUAUAUAUAUGGCGGAUACAGUUUUCUCAGACUACUAACCAUCCCACCAAAAAGUCGAAGGCUCUCUCAGAGGCAUCUACGUCUUGCCGGGUGUUUGAAUGAGGCUCAAACCAUUGUGUCAUCAGUGAAAUACCAAUCUCACCCUUUUGAGUUGGCUAUGGAAACACAAGAAGAGAGAAUUAUAAACUUUAUUAAUUACUUGCAUGUAUGCUCGCAUGAUGAAUUAUUAUUAUAUAUAGACAUAUGAUAAAUAAAUAAAAUUAUCUUUACCCUAAGAAUAUUCGUCAUAGAAAUAAUUAUAUAAUUUAAAAAAAAAAAAAAAAAGUUUUGGGAUGAAGAAGGGAGUAUGAUUUAAGUACAUGCAUGUUACUUACUUGAUAAGUCUGUUUGUAGAGUUUAGCAGCAGCAGCAUGGGCUAAUAUGAUAUGGUGGGUAGCAAGAAAAGGAUCAGUUGCAGGUUUUGGAUUUGGAUUUUCAUGCCAAUUUUAUAUCCAUACUGCCCAAACACUUGUGGCUCAUUGAUUGUACUCCAGUCCUUCACUCUGUCACCAUAGGUUUUGAAACAAAGAUCUGCAUAGGCUUUGAAAUCAUCCCUAUAUAUAUAGUUGAAAUAAUUAAACAAAAAAAAACAAAUUAAUCAGGGCUAGAAAAUUAAAAUAAUAAAAAUAUAAUUAAACAUUAAAGAAAAUAUAUUUAUUGAAUAAUUAAUGGGGGAAUUAAGAACCAUACACAAUCUGCUUAUUCAAGAAUCCAUUGUACUUAUUUUGGAGUGCUUGUGGCAAGUCAAAGUGAAAUAGUGUUACAAAUGGGGUUAUUCCUGCAUGCAUUAAUUUAAAUAUUUGUUAGCACAUUAAAGAGCACAACAAAAUAAGUUAAUCUAAGUUUAAUUAAUUACUGCUUACCAUUAUUUAGCAAUUCAUUGAUGAAAUUGUUGUAGAAAUCAAUACCCUCUUGGUUAAUUCCCCCACUCACUGUUCCAUCUGCAUAUAUGUUUCUCAAUAACAUUAAAAUAAUAAUUAAUAAAAAAAACUAGCAAGUAAUGUGAACAAUUUUCAAUAUUAUGGUUGUCAAAUUGUAAGAUACUACGAGCUAGCUCUGCAAAAAUAUAAUCUUGUUUGUUUGUGUUUUACGGUUAAUUAAUACAUCUUGGCCGCCAUGCCAACUUUAUUUCUUUUAAAUAUUCGGUGGACAUUUUUGAGGUUGACUUGGUACUAUUGUCAAUUUUUUACUCGCUUUGUUAGGCUCAAUCCCACACCCACACUUCCUUUAUGUGCUGCGUUUGGAUUGAAAGAAUAAAAUAGAUGAGGGAAUGAAAUAAAGAAGGGAAUAGAAUGAUUUUUUAAUAUUCCAUGUACAUAUUUGAUUGAUGUUAUGAAUACAUCUAAGAAUAAAAUAAAUAAUUAGAAAGUGACCUAAAUACCCCCAAAUGUUUAAAUUUAACUUAAAUUCAAUUUAUAUUAAAAAAUUAACACAUAUUUCUCUAGAUUUUUUUUAUAAUUAUAUUCUUCUUCUUUUUUUAUUAUAUUUUUUCAUAUAAUUUUUCAUAUAAUUUUUUUUGUAUGGGGGUNNNNNNNNNNNNNNNNNNNNNNNNNNNNNNNNNNNNNNNNNNNNNNNNNNNNNNNNNNNNNNNNNNNNNNNNNNNNNNNNNNNNNNNNNNNNNNNNNNNNNNNNNNNNNNNNNNNNNNNNNNNNNNNNNNNNNNNNNNUCGUUUUCUGUUUAAUGAUACACGAGUCGAACUCGAGCAGACCAGUGUUCGCUCAUAUUAAGGUUCGAGUAUUUCAUUUUUUCUCAAACCAUACUCGAUACCUGCUCGAUGGAUCAUAUUCGAAUAUUGGUCUGAACCAUGCUAGUAAGCUAAAUAUGUGAUAUUUGUAUCAAUCUUUAUAAUUUAUAAAAUGUAGUAUGAAAUUGUGUAAACUUGUACUAGAAUAAAUCAAUGAAUUAAAUGUCAAUUUAUAUUAUAUUUUUUAUAAUUUUAAUACAUAAAUAAAAGUGAAAAAGUUUUAUAUAUAAAUAUUAGUUAAGUAACCAAUUUAGUAUGUAGUGAUUUAUUUUUAAGUGAAAUGGUUCAUAUUCGAAACUCAAUUUGUGGGAGAGUGUGGGGGGUGAGGGAGUGGGGGGGUGGGGGUGGCUCUGCUCCUCCUCUUUCGCAGAUCGAUAGAUUAAUUGAAUGAAAGAACAUGGAACCCUAACUUAUUUUUAAGGGGCAUAUUUGUCAAUUACUUAAAAAUAAUAGAUGAAAUAGGUUAUUUCUGGCCCCCCCCUUCCAGGAAUAAAAAUUAUAAUUUUAAGUUAACACCUAUUCCACUAGAAAUACAUUAUUCUGUUGGAAUAAACAAAUCAAACAACAUUUUUAUCAUUCCAAUGGAAUGAUUCAUUCCAUUCUUCCUCCUAUUCCAUCGAUCCAAACGUAGCAUUAGGCUUGGCUUGAUUAUUGUGCAAAUUAAACAAUAUAAACAUUUUGAAAAAAUUAAUUAAUUAUGGCUUAAAUAUGUUUCAUUUCCUUAAAUUAUCUGACAUAUUCCAUUUUAGUGAUCCACAUUUCAAUUAAAUGAUUGAACUAUUGAUUUUUUUUCAAUUUGAUUCAAUUAAGGCUGUUGCGUCAGAAAUUGCUGACCUGACUAUUUCGGUGGGGCAUAAAGCAGCUGAUGUGUCAAAAAAAUUUAUUUUUUUAUUUUAGAAUUAAACAUUAUUGAUAUAUUGAAGGGUAAAAUGGGGCAUACUUUUUUUAAAAUUCAAUCUGGGUAUUCCUUGUUUUCUCUUUUUUGAUUCAGGGUUUUCGAAUUUUGGAGAAAGAUUAUGACUUCCAAGCUAGGUGCAGCUUGAUUUGGGUAUGGGCAAUUGUAGGCUCUUGUUGAAGGUUGAGGUGUUGCAAUGACGACGAAGGUUUGGAUGGUUGCAAUGAUGGUUUGGGUCAGUUCGUGAUUUGGAAGUGAUGAAAUAUAAUUAUUUUAAUUGUCUAAUUUGUCUGAAUGUACGUAUUAAUAAAAAUUUUGUGCUUCAGUAUAUAACUAAUGUUUACUCCCAAAAUUAAAAAAAAUAAAUCACACAUCAGUUGCUUUAUGUCCCACCCAAAUAGUCAUGUUAAUAAUUUUUGACAUGGCAGUCUCAAUUGGAUCAAAUUGAAAAAAAUUAAUAGUUCAAUCAUUUAAUUAAAAAAAUUAAAAAAUGGAUCAUUAAAAUAGAAUAUAGAUAGGUUAGAGUAAUAAAACAUAUUUAAGUCAUUAACUAUAUAUAUUAAACAAAACUAUUAGCAAAAAUAAACGGAUAUAUUUUAAGAUUUUGUAUGUGAUUUCUUUAUUGUGAAUUACGUGUAUUUAAUAUGAUGAGUCAAUUUUAUAAUUUCAUAUAAUUUCAUGCACCGAUGUACGUGGCAAUGAUAAUUUUCGGAAGACUCUUUACAAAAUACAUAUAAAAAAAAUUAGAAUUAAGAAGGUGCGUACCGGGAAGGAGCCUAGACCAAGAUAUUGAAAAUAUGUAGGUGUCGGCUCCCAUAUUCUUCAGCAGUUGCACAUCUUCCUGUUACGUGCAUAUGCAAAACACCAUUUCCCAAAUUAUUGUCAUCAUUAAUUUUCACUAAAAAAAAAAGUUAUAUACGACUGUUCCAUAUUUACCAAUUUAAUUAAAUAAGUUAUUAGUUUAAGAAGGGUACUGACUUAAGGACAUUGUGCUAGCUUAUUUUAAAUUAUUGUCCAUAAAACAACUAUUUUGGUGUAAAAAAAUCAAUUUUAUCGGGUAAAGAGGGAGGGAGUUAAUACACUUUAUGCUUGUUUAGAUAUUAUUAUUAAUUUAAUUGUCAUCAAUAUUAGAUUAGUCUAUUUUUUAUCAGAAAAAUAAAAUUGAAGUUAAUUGUCAAAUAGUUAAACGGAUUAGGAUGAAGUUGACAUCAAAUUCAUCUUAAUUUUGUGCCUAAUAUCUUUCAAACAUAUCAACAUCAGGUUGGAUGAUCAAAAUAUCCUGGAUAAAUUGUUCUUAUAUACUUAACUCCGUAUCUAAAUUAAUUAUUAUACUUACCUUUGUAAUUACAUUCGACUUUAUUUUAAUCUGAGUAUGUAACAAAUUAAUGUACCCAUAGUUUAACAAUUAAUAACAUUUCCUUUUAUCGAGUCUAAGCGCUACAUAAUACUAAUAAAUACUACUCUCUCCGUCUCAAAUUAAUUGUUCAGUUUUGACUUUUUAAAGUUAAAUUGACCAUUUUUAAAAUUAAUUUUUUUACUAUUUUUGCUAAAAUAGAGGUGAAGAGAUUAUAACCAAAAGAAAGUAUAUACAAUUUAUUACUAAUCCCAAUUUUUAUAAUUUUAGAAAUAUAUUUAUAUAUGCUUAAUUAUUAAUUUUAAAAAUAGUCAAUUUGACUUAAAAAAUUCAAAAUUGAACAAUUAAUUUGGAACGGAUGGAGUAUUAAGCUUCCCUAGAAGUCUAGAACUAAAAUGCAUGCUAUAGUAAAUAUCAGUCAAUUUUUUUUAGACAAAACCAUAAAUUGAAUCGAUCUUCAGAAAAAUUUGAAUAUAUAGGUUGACAUUUUAUAUAAAUUUUAAAUUCUUAAUUAUUAAGUUAAUAAGCCAACCUUGUAGAACAAAGAAUAUUAAUUGGUCAAACAUUGAAGUCAGUCCGGGUGAUUAGGUAAACCUGCUGGUAAAAAAUACUAACACAUGGGCCAAAAGGCAAAUAGAUCACAAUUCAUCAACAUGGAAUUAAACAUGCAAAGAUCGAUAUAUAUAUAUAUAUAUAUAUAUAUGGGAUGACCCACCGACCUUAUAGCGAUGGUAAGAAUCAACGGCGAUAUCCAGUCCGGCAAUAUCAUCUUGGAUAAAACCAUCCCAUGUGCUUGGUCCUCUCCCUCCUUCUGUUCCUGAUCCUUCCGUCUGUUCAUAAAUUAAAGGAUUAAUUUAUUCUCUUAAACAAAACGUCAUGUAAACUAACGUCCGACGAACUGCAUGUUAUCAUGAUGUACGUUGACGUACUAACAGCUAACUAGUAGUACUCUAAUUGAGUUGAUUUAGAGAGAGAGAGAGAUUAGAUAUAUAUACCUGAAAUGCAGAAGUGGAGCAUCAAAACUUGAAGUCCGCCGGAAAGUCUUUUCUUUUUACAAACUUGGGUUUAGCCGGCUUGACGGAAGGGAUAACUCCUCCGUUAAAGUGUUCAAUGAGCUCCGGCGGAGGAGCUACAUGUCCUUUCCAACUUCUCACGGUUAACGGAGAAUAACCACCCUUUCUAAACACCUUUUUAUUACUUGUAGAAAAUUGCGUCUUUCUCACUUGUCCUCCUCUUAAGAACACUUGGCUUUCGGCUGAUCUAUCUAGUUGAGUCACCGUGGAAGAACUCAUGAUCGCCGCCGAUAAACCGUUCAGAGCCAUCUUUAUUAAAUUCUAUAUAUGUCCCGAUCGAUCGUCGUGUGUUUGAGAGAGAUAUAUAGAGAAGUUUAAUUGUGGUUUGCAGGGUAGUAAUGCUGGAGAGCUGGCUAGUUGUAUAUAUAUAGAUUGAAGGAAGAGUCGAGGUAGAAUUGAAAGGAAGUUGGUAUUUACAAAAUAUUUAAUUUGCUCUAUAUAUAUAUAUAUAUAACAAAUUAUUCAAUAUACGAUCAUACAUAUGCAUUAAUAUAAAGUACUAGUAUUUUUUGUUGCUAGAAAUAUCAUUGCUUAACAUAGUUGAUAUUGUCAUAACAAAAAUUAUAUUAAUUAGAGCAAUGUAAAUUUAGCCUAUAUACUUAAUUUUUUAUCAAUAUUUAAUAUUUUAAUACACACAUUUUUCUCUGACACUAUCAUUUUUCUUAUGAAAAUAUCAUUUUGCCUUUCUUAAAUAAAAACAAAAUUAGUUUAAGCACUUAAUUGGGUGCUUAAUUAAUUUACAUGCUUAAUAAAUUGACAUUUAAUAGUCAUUCAAUACUAAUACUACACUUGUUCAAUAACAAUACUACAUUAAUAUGGUCAAGAAACAUGUGAACCUAAUUUUUAAAUUUUUUAGUAAGGAGUAAGGACCACGAAUAAUUCAAUUAUGGAUCGGGUCAACUUCAAAAAAGUGGAGUAAGUAAAAGAAAUCGGAAUCAAAUGAAUAAUUUCAUGUACAUGCAUUAAUAAUUCAACCACCCAAUUAUCAAUAUCUUAUAUAUGAAAACACCAAAUGAAAUUAAUUUUUAAUUGAUUGUGACUUAAUUUUGUUAAUCAUCACACGCAUUUAAAAUUUUUAAUGAAUUGACUCAAUGAGUUAUCACAUAAUAUAAUAUAAGAUAAAUUAAUAAUAAUCUUAAAAGUAUUCUAUUAGGAAUAAAUGUAUGCACGACAAUUCAUAUAUUAUCAAUUUGCAUGCAUAUUUACAUGUAUGAAUGUGAUGCUUUAUUUUUCUAAAAGCAAAUAGAAAGACAUAUUUUUUAGUUAGUUUUUGUUAUAUUUGUAUGUUAAAUGUUGGAUUCUUUUGUAAUCAUGUCAUAUAUUUAAUUUUGUAUACCGUAUACAUGUCAAAAUAAAAGAGAGAGAGAGAGAGAGAGAGAAUUAAACUAUAUAUCCAAUUAAAUUAAUUUAUUUAUAGAUUUUAUACUUCCAAUUUAGCGAAUACUCAGAAGAGUAGUUAAGUUUCAUGGUUUUCCCGGAAUUAAGAGGGCCAAUUAACCCAUGCACGUAGGAAUUAAGUUGGAUGAGAAAGUGGUUUGGAAUUUUGAUUCAAUAUAUAAUUGAUUUGCGUAUUAUCCCAGCUAGCUCACCCUCACCUACCUGCUCCAUUAGUAUUAUUUUGACCGAAUAAAAAACCACACAUUCCUAAUUAAAUUUCAUAUUCAAGAUCAUAAAGAUGAUUGACUCCACAAGUUCUAAAUCAAACAUGGCCAUCAUUUUUUGACUUUUCAGUUUUUCACAUAAAACCCAUGACAUUAAUCUUUUACCUGAUCCCUCCUCUAAAAUUCUAUUCCCUCCGUUAUAAAUUUAUAUGAUCAUUAUUGAUUUUUAAAAAUUAAUUUAAAAUAUUUUUAUAUUUAAAAUUGAGGUGACUCAUUAAAAUUUAUAAAUUUUAUAAUAAGUAAUAUUUUUUAGAUAAUUUAAUUAUAAUAUUUAUAAUUAUAUUGAUUAAAAUUAAAAGAAUCUAUCUAUAUCAAUUUUAAAUUUAAAAUUUUUUUGAGUUGACUUUAAAAAAUCAAUAAUAAUUAAAUAAUAUAAAACGGAUGAAAUAUUAUAAUGAGAAAUAGACUAGGAGAAUUUUUACAAAGAAGCAAUUUUAAGUGAUGAGGGUCAAGAUGGACCAUGAAAUACAUCUUCUAUGUGAACGCCUCCUCUCACUUAUAAACAAAAGUACUAAAACAAAUUAAUAGAAAAAAUAAUUGAAAUUAGUUAUAAAAAAAAUUUAGAUAAGAGAGGGACACCUCACGUUCUUGCGUAAUGUGCCCCUUAAUUAUAAUAAUAAUAUUUUGAAUAAUUAUAAAACAACAUUUUGUGCGUACAUAACAUGAGACCAUAUAUUAGUUUUUGCCAUGCAUAUACUAGUUUUUAUAAGAAAAAGAAAAAGAAAAAGAGAGACAAUCUUAUAAUUAAAUUUAUAAAUAAUACUCCCUCCGUCCCUAUUUAAAUGACGUUUUAGAGAUGGUCACAAGAAUUAAGAUAAUGAUUGGAAAGCAUUAAAUAUAGUACUCAAUUGUCUAUAAUACCCUUAAAUCAUUAAUUUAUCAUAGCACAAGAGUUUAAAGUACCAAAAAAAUAGGUAGAGUAAUGAGGGAUAAUUUUGGAAAAAUUAUCAUUAAUUCUCCUAGAUUUGAACAAAUGUCAAUUAAUUAAGGACAAAUAAAAAACUUUAAAACGUCAUUUAAAUAGGGACGGAUGGAAUAGUUGGUUAGUUUUAUUGAAAUACAAACUUUCAACCCUGCGAGACACCGGCUGAUGUUCUUUUCUUGUGAUCUAAUUAAGGCAGUAUUUUUAUGCGACACACCGGUUGAUCAUGCCCAUAAUCGAUCUGUACGAGUAUUUGUGCAAGGGAAUUUUCAAAGUUAGAGCUUAGCUAGCGUAUAUAGGCACAUGAUAUUUGACUUUGCAAUCCUUGUGAACGCAACUUCACUCGUAACCAACAGUUGACAAUCAAGUGCAACAACUAUAUGUAUAUAAUAUGAAAAUCAAAUUAUAGAUGAAAAAUAUAAACAAGUUGCACAUUCAAAUUAAUAUAAACAAGAAUAUAUUUGUUUGAAAAUUAAAAAUUAUCUGAAAAUAUGUAUUGUAAAUUUAAAAUUCUAUAAAUACCUUUACUAACAACAUUUAGUGAUAUGAUAUAUAAAGUUUAUUAUUGUUAUAAACAAUAUUACUAGUACAACAUUUUUUUUAGUGAUAGUUUACCAUAAAUGAAAGGGAAUAAGUACUAAUUAAUUAAUUAAUAAUUUCAAAGAUAUGAAAAGUCAAAGAAACAUAAUGUGUUAAUGGUUUAUAAUUAAGAUUGUGGAUAUAAUAUAUAUAUAUUGUUAUGAAACAACUGGAAAUAAAGGAACAAUUUAACAUGAUGGAAAAAGUGACGAAAAUUGUUAUAAUAAUGAAGAGAUUUAUUAGAUAAAAACUCUUAAAUAACGAGACACAAUAAAGCUAGUAAUUUACCAACAGUUUCAAUAUGUAUGUAGUUGCAAUAAAUUUAUAAUUAAUGCUAAAAUGAAAUUAAAGCUCAUCAGUGUGACAUGCAUGCAUGCAUUUUUCUCAUACUCAUAUGCAUUAAAUAAAAUCUUAAUUAAUAUGGUACAUAAGUUUAUAUUCUAGCUUGUUUAUAGAUGAAAAAUAUAAAUAAGUUGCACAUUCAAAUUAGAGGAGAUGAAAAGGUAGCAUGAAUGAUAUAUUGUUCCAAAAAACUAAUCAUGUAUUAUUAGAAAUUUCUUUUUAAUUUGCAUUUUACCUUGAUCAAAGAUUUUUGAGUUGUCAUUUAUCAAAUCGCAUAGGACAUGUAGAUUAUUUGUUGAUCACUCAUCUAUCUUUAUGUAUACUUUAUUAUAUAUACCCGAACAUAACCUAUAACAUACUCUGAGGUAUUAAGAAAUAUAUAUAACAAAGUAUAACUCAGUAUACACAAGACACUAUGAUGAUUAUCUCAAAUCCAAUGAUCAAUUGUACAACUAUUACUAUAAAAACUCUUAUUGUCAGGCAAGUACAACUUCAUCAGGGUUCCUUUAAACUUAUUUUCCGAUAAGCACUUACAUACUUGCUUUAGAGUCUCCACACAAAUGAUUAUGAGAUCAAAGCAAGAUAUGUACUUAUAAUCUAUCCGCAAUUGAUCAGUAACCCCACAUUAGUUAUUCAUACGAUUAGAAACAUUAUUUUUAGUUUUAGAGCUAUCUUGAAUUUAGAUCUCAUUAACAUGAUCAACAUCAUGAUUCUAAAAGCAUUGUUCGAAAACUAUAUGUUUAUCACUUUUAUUAAUUCAACUAAUUAACAUAGAUAAAGAAUGCCUUAAUUUUAAUAUAAAUAUAUUCUAUUAUUAAUAAAUAAAAAAGAUUACAAAGUAAAUAUUUAUGAUCACAUUCAAUGUGAUUGGCUUGAGGACAUAUUACUUUCAUAGAUGAGCUCUAAAACUGCAUAAUCAAGAGAUGGAAAAAAGACGUAAGGCUCUAACCGGAUCAAAAGUCUAAUUUAGAGUCGUGAGAAAUUGCAUGAACCGUUGUUGAUCUCGAUCGAUAUAUAGUCUUGGUAAAGUUUAGCAUCUUCAUUACAUUUCCCAAAGUGACUGCAUCUUGGAGAGAAAAUCUGUUAUUUGUUGUCCUGUUUCUUGUUUUAAUUUGCUCACCUAGCUAGGUUAUAUAUGAAGAAGGUCAAGAUCAGUAGUGUUAUAUAUGUUGGGAAGCUAGUAAAUCCCAAAUGAUCGAUCUCCUUUGCAGUUUCGUACGUACCGUCCAAAUUGAAUAUGAAUUGAUGCAGCAAACGAGUUUUGAAACCAAGUGAUUGUUUGAAUAUAGAAAGAAAAUUUGGUUUGAGACUUUGAGCAUUUGAAGAAUUAUUAUUGAACUAGGACAAAUAACCGAAAUAAAUUUCUAAAUUGUAUCUAAAUAUUUUUUAUUUGAAAUUCUUUUUUUAAUUUGAAUUAUGAGUACUUAUUACAAUUUAUAAACAUUAUUAUAAUUACUAUUAGUUUUUAACUUCAACAAAAAAAAUUAAUUACAAUCCGCCCCGGCCCGCUAGCUGGUGGUUAAUUAAUUUGAAACUCUUUUAUCAGCAGUCUUGCAAAUGCACGCCGCGUACACGAAUACAAAAACACUACUAAUGUUAACAUCAAACAAGUACAUAAAGUUGAGAGAAUUAAUGAAUUGUGAAGGAAUGGUUUGAAGCCUGUUUUAUUUAUGGUAAAACAAAACACCGAAAAUGAAACUUUUUUUGUAGGUCUUUGUGAGGUUGGCAUACUAUACUAGGGUAGAAAACUUGCUGACAAUGGCAUACUAGUAGUCUAUAUAUAGAGAAAAGAGUUGCUGAUGAUGAUUUAUAGGAGGAGUAUUUGGAAUUAAAAACAAAGUAAGCAAAAUUGGUAAGGUAAAAAUGCAUGUAAAAGGCUAAAGUCAGCAGGCCUAAUAUUAUUCAAUUAGUGAAGUGAGGUGGUAAUCCGGUGAUAUAACAAGACUCCUGCUCAAACAAAAUUAAAGCUUUUGUUAGGAGGAUUGUAGUACUGUAGGAGUAAUUUCCGGUAAUAUUCUCAUCGUCCUCCUCAUAAUCUUCAAUUUUGAUUGAAUUGAAUCAAACGCACAAUACAUAUAUAUACAAGUUAAAACCCUAGAGAGAAGGGGAAGAAUGAGCCUAAAUAUGAAGUCAAUUGCGGGACAAAUCCAAGGGCUGUGUGGAGCAGUACCUAAGACAUACAUGCAUCAACUCCGGCCAGUUACUCCACAGUUUCCUCAAUUCGAUCUGAGUCGACUCUCUUAAUCAAGUGAUGUAGUAAUGUCACAUCAUUUGAGACACUAGCAUUAUGUACACAAGUGAAUUAGUGAGUGAGUGUGUUAAUUUUUUAUACGCAAAUGUGGGUGAAAGUCCUGCUUUUUGUUUAGAUGAUACCGAGGUAUUCCACCAGCGGUUAACAACUUUCAGAUACAAUUUUCUAGUAGAGUAGUAAUUCUUUAUAAAUCAUAAUUUAGUUUUCUAAUCACCAACUAGGAAGAUUAGCAAACGUGUUUAAAAAUAUAUAUAAUGCUAUCUGCCAAUUAUUUUUUUGCAUGUAUUCAAAACUGGAGGGUUUGUUAAUGUGAAGCAGGAUAACUCGUGUAUAUGAUGAUAUAUCUGCUCUGCAGACUACCAAAUUGAAGCAAGCUUGUGAAGCUGAUGGAGCAUAAUAGGGCAGAUCAUAGAUCAGAAACUGAAGGCUUUUGUUAGUACAUAUUUGAUGAAAUUGGAUAGUAGUAGCUAAUUUAGCAUGAACACGUUGUAUAUAACUUAUAUGUGAACUUAAUUCCUGAAUGAAGGAGGUAAAUUAAUGUAAUCUCUCCUUCAUAUUAAAACCGCAGGUUUUAAUUUUAGUUCUCAAGCACUAUUAUAGUGUUCGACUGUACUUUUGCUACAUCAAAAUUUGGUGUUAAAAUUGCUACUAUGGUGGGUUUGAAGCUCUCUUUAUCAGCUGUCUUGCAACGCACACGAACACAAAAACACCAUUGGAAACACCAAGCAAUUAUGUACAGAAAGUUGAGAGAAUUGAAUUGUAAAGGAAUGGCUUGAAGCCAGUUUUAUUUAUGGACUUAUAGCAAUACAACAAAGAGAGAUGAGCACACUUUUAUUAUCUGAUCAUAUUAAUACAGCAGAGACAUGGAAACACCACACUCUGCCGACCAGAUGCCGAAGAAAAACCUCAAUGAAACCAUAUAUAGUACAUACGAAAGAGAACCUAUUUAUUUCAUUUCCCUUCUUCGGCCCAAGAUUUGAACCAGCCUGCAGAUUCUUUGGGUAUCCUGUUCAAAUUAUUGAGGUAAUCUGUGUAGUAAAGACCAAACCUCACUUUAUAACCUGAUCCCAUUUCCAUGCAGUCCAUCAGUGCCCACAUGAAGUAACCGUUCGCAUUGGCUCCC
rnacentral:lncRNA from 1 species